CCCUGAGAAGGUCUUGGCCUGAAGACACUCACCUCUCUUUCCCCAGGAGUGUCUUUUAGGAAGACAGACAAAUAGCCAGCAGUUCCACAGCGACUCAGGGGACUGCCAGGGUUCAAAUCCUGCUCCUGCUAGAUGCCACUUCUGCUGCUCUUCAUUGCUGCCCUAGACAAGGCCAGGCCCUGCGGCGUGCUGCGAGCCUUCCUUCCGUUAUCUUUACCAGCUCUACAUGGUCAUUCACAGAUGAGAAAGCUGAAGAUCAGAGAGCUCACACAUUUCCCACAAGGUUACACAGUCAGUAAGAGACACUAUCAGGAUUCCAAUGACCUGCUGUUAAAGUUCAUCU
rnacentral:lncRNA from 1 species